rnacentral:lncRNA from 1 species
AAACAGAAGAGAUCUCCAAAAAAUCUCCUUAUGUAUUCUCUUGGCAAUCCAUAGUCCAUAUUGCCAUAUUAAAGAUAGAAAUCCUGCAGAAGAGACACCUGUUAUAAUCCAGGCAUUUCCUGACUUAAUUAACCUUGGAAUUAAAAAAAAAAAAAAAAAAAGCAAUUCCUGAAAACAUGCUGCAGAGCUUUGGGAAACAACUUCAUCCACCAGUGCUCAUGCCUGGCCAUUGCCCCGGACUGAAUGCUCCUUGCAUUCUUACUCCUGAAACCAAAAUUAAGAUGUCCUCAUGGGAGGAGAGAACAUGGAAUCUUCUCUUGCUAUCUCCACGGCCUUGAGCCAGCAGAGAGAGCCCCUCUAAAGAAAGAGCACUACGGUCUUCACGCGUAGCUGGAGAUGGGCUGCAGUGCUGUGGGCUGGAGAAGUGGGAUUCACGAUACUCUUCACUUCCUGAUUUUCCCCCAAGAGUUAAGGAACCGAAGCUUGGAUGAAGCUUGGAUGCGGCUCCUAAAGAUGGUCUUCACCAAACAAAAGCGCUUCCUUCAGGCAAGAGCCACAGCAUUUGUCGAGUUGCCUCCUGCAUGACAGUGGGCAAAGCAUGAGCACAGUCUAGCAUGUAAUCAGCAUUCAGUAAACCAUCGUGCUUUUUCAUUCUGAAAGCAAAUAACAAGCAUCAUCGUGUGACUCGUGGGGCCACACACGUCAGCAGGUAAGACCCAUCCAUGGUGAUGGCAUUGCUGAGAUGUGCACAGGGUGCUGUGGGAGGAUCCAGGAGAGGGGGAGCCCACCCCGGCUGGGAGGGAGCAACCUGG